rnacentral:tRNA from 1 species
GCCGACAUAGCUCAGUUGGUAGAGCAGCUGAAUCGUAAUCAGCAGGUCGUGGGUUCAAGCCCCUCUGUCGGCU